UACAGAGGUCUCAAGCGUUGUUCGGAUUCAUUGGGCGUAAAGGGUGCGUAGGUGGCGCGAUAAGUCGGGUGUGAAAUCUCGGAGCUUAACUCCGAAAUUGCAUUCGAUACUGCCGUGCUCGAGGACUGGAGAGGAGACUGGAAUUCAUGGUGUAGCAGUGAAUGCGUAGAGAUCAUGAGGAAGACCAGUGGCGAAGGCGGGUCUCUGGACAGUUCCUGACACUGAGGCACGAAGGCCAGGGGAGCAAACGGG
rnacentral:rRNA from 1 species